rnacentral:misc_RNA from 1 species
UCUUGAAGUCAUGGCUGGCGUACCUGCAAAUAGAAAACUCCAAUUAAUAAUGCACACCCACUGAUAAAUGGAGGUUUUCACUUAGAAUUGAACAGGAUCUGAGGGGUUUACUAUCAUCUUCUCAGAAUCAUCACUCAUUUUCCACAACUAACUACAAAGUUUCCUUAAGACAGUGGAUCAAUUCAAAGUAAUUUAUAACUCAAUACUAUGGUGCUGGAUUUCUUUGGGGGGGGGGGGGGGGG